rnacentral:rRNA from 1 species
GUGAGGAAUUUUCCGCAAUGGGCGAAAGCCUGACGGAGCAAUGCCGCGUGAAGGAUGAAGGCCUAUGGGUUGUAAACUUCUUUUCUUAGAGAAGAAGAUUGACGGUAUCUGAGGAAUAAGCAUCGGCUAACUCUGUGCCAGCAGCCGCGGUAAGACAGAGGAUGCAAGCGUUAUCCGGAAUGAUUGGGCGUAAAGCGUCUGUAGGUGGCGUCAAAAGUCUCCUGUCAAAGAUCAGGGCUUAACCCUGGGCCGGCAGGAGAAGAUCUGAGGCUAGAGUUUGGUAGGUGCAGAGGGAAUUUCCGGUAGAGCGGUGAUAUGCGUAGAGAUCGGGAGGAACACCAAAGGCGAAAGCACUCUGCUGGUCCACAACUGACACUGAGAGACGAAAGCGAGGGGAGCAAAAGGGAUUAGAAACCCGUGUAGUCC